CGACUCCAUGAAGCUGGAUUCGCUAGUAAUCGCGCAUCAGCCACGGCGCGGUGAAUACGUUCCCGGGCCUUGUACACACCGCCCGUCAAACCAUGAGAGUUGGCAACACCCGAAGUCGGUAGUCUAACCGCAAGGAGGACGCCGCCGAAGGUGGGGUUGAUGAUUAGGGUUAAGUCGUAACAAGGUAAC
rnacentral:rRNA from 1 species